GUGGUCACUUAUGCAGCACAUCUUCUAAAAUUGGAAUGAUACAUAGAAGAUUAGCAUGGCCCCUGCGCAAGCAUGCAUGCAAAUUUGUGAAGCAUUCCAUGUUUUG